rnacentral:other from 1 species
CCUUGCCUGCUCUGAUGGUGCUUCAGGCGAAAAUGUUGAUCCAGCAAAUUAGAUCAUUUUGGAAGCCAGAUUAGGUCAUGUGGUGUGCAUACCUCAUAGCAGAGGCAGCCUAAACAGAUCUGGAGGCAUCCACCUGUAGAAUCAGGGAUCUAAUUUUCGCUUACACCCCAGAGCGGGUGUUUA